CUCAGGAUGAACGCUGGCGGCGUGCCUAAUACAUGCAAGUCGAGCGAACGGACAGGAGUGCUUGCACUCCUUGAAGUUAGCGGCGGACGGGUGAGUAACACGUGGGUAACCUACCUAUAAGACUGGGAUAACUUCGGGAAACCGGAGCUAAUACCGGAUAAUAUAUACCUCCGCAUGGAGGAAUAGUCAAAGACGGUUCUGCUGUCACUUAUAGAUGGACCCGCGGUGUAUUAGCUAGUUGGUGAGGUAACGGCUCACCAAGGCAACGAUACAUAGCCGACCUGAGAGGGUGAUCGGCCACACUGGGACUGAGACACGGCCCAGACUCCUACGGGAGGCAGCAGUAGGGAAUCUUCCGCAAUGGACGAAAGUCUGACGGAGCAACGCCGCGUGAGUGAAGAAGGUUUUCGGAUCGUAAAACUCUGUUGUAAGGGAAGAACAAGUACGU
rnacentral:rRNA from 1 species